UACGUAGGGUGCGAGCGUUAAUCGGAAUUACUGGGCGUAAAGCGUGCGCAGGCGGUUUUGUAAGCCAGAUGUGAAAUCCCCGGGCUUAACCUGGGAAUGGCAUUUGGGACUGCAAGGCUUGAGUGCGGCAGAGGAGACUAGAAUUCCUGGUGUAGCAGUGAAAUGCGUAGAUAUCAGGAGGAAUACCGAUGGCGAAGGCAGGUCUCUGGGCCUGUACUGACGCUGAGGAGCGAAAGCGUGGGGAGCGAACAGG
rnacentral:rRNA from 1 species